UGGGGAAUAUUGCACAAUGGGCGCAAGCCUGAUGCAGCCAUGCCGCGUGUGUGAAGAAGGCCUUCGGGUUGUAAAGUACUUUCAGCGGGGAGGAAGGGAGUAAAGUUAAUACCUUUGCUCAUUGACGUUACCCGCAGAAGAAGCACCGGCUAACUCCGUGCCAGCAGCCGCGGUAAUACGGAGGGUGCAAGCGUUAAUCGGAAUUACUGGGCGUAAAGCGCACGCAGGCGGUUUGUUAAGUCAGAUGUGAAAUCCCCGGGCUCAACCUGGGAACUGCAUCUGAUACUGGCAAGCUUGAGUCUCGUAGAGGGGGGUAGAAUUCCAGGUGUAGCGAUGAAAUGCGUAGAGAUCUGGAGGAAUACCGGUGGCGAAGGCGGCCCCCUGGACGAAGACUGACGCUCAGGUGCGAAAGCGUGGGGAGCAAACAGG
rnacentral:rRNA from 1 species